ensembl:lncRNA
GGAAUAUCUCUACACAGUGACAUCCAUUCAAUUUUCAAUUCAAUUCAAUUUUAUUUAUAGAGCGCCAAAUCACAGCAACAGUCUCCUCAAGGCGCUUUAUAUUGUAAGGUAUACUUACAAAGAAAAACCCAACAAUCAGAUGACCCCCUAUGAGCAAGCACUUUGGCGACAGUGGGAAGGAAAAACUCCCUUUUAACAGGAAGAAACCUCCAGCAGAACCAGGCUCAGGGAGGGGCGGCCAUCUGCUGCGACCGGUUGGGGAGGGGCAAGGAAAACAGGAUAAAAACAUGCUGUGGAAGAGAGACAGAGGUUAAAAACAAGUACGAUUCAGCACAGAGAGGUCUAUUAACACAUAGAGGGUGAAGAAGAAACACCCAGUGCAUGAUGGGAAUCCCCCGGCAGCCUAAUGCUGGGCAUACACUGUGCGAUUUUUGGCCCACUUUGAGCCGAUUUUUCAGUCGUGCGACCGUUUUGGGGAUCAGCCCGAGUUUGGCCUUAAUCACGUGUCGUGCAUCGUAUACAUGGGGUAACGAGAAGCGAUUAACACCUCACGACCGGCUCCCGAUCAUCAAGCGUUUGGUCGUAAGGAAAUCAAACCUGUUUGAAAUCCUGUCUGCGAUCGUGAGGGUGUCAACGCAGCGUCUCACACUGCGCACGAGCAAACACAGAAAUAAAAGCGAAAAGACGGAACAGCACGGCAGUGCGACGUGUGAUCCGGACACAAGCGAUGGAGGCACGACUUGUAGAACUUUGGCAAGGUCAUCCGAGCCUUUUCGACGUGACCUCACAAAAUUAUCGCGACCGCAACAACCGUGAAAAUAGUGUAAGAUUUUGUGUUUUAACCUUCAUGCUAUGGACGCACAGUGUGAGCACUCGGGUCGCACAGAGCAUCGGGCCGUAUAGUGUGAGACCCUGCAUCGUGACCUACGAACUUCUAGCCCCUGCCAGUCAAUCGGACAGUUUGAGCAGGAGCUGAAUAACGCGACUGAAGAAAUCGCACAGUGUAUGCCCAGCUUAUUGCAGCCUGCAAGGAGGAUUCAGGGUCACAUGAGAAAGCUAUCAGCCUAUUAAAAGGAUACUGAAAACGCCGUCGGAAUAGCGUUAGUUGUCAUCACUGGUGCUGGUGGACUCAUCUGAACACCUCCGAUAUUUGCAAACACGCGAUUUUCCUCUUCUUCCUCAAAAUCCUCUCGGGACCGCUUCCUCGAGCCUCCAGUUUCAUGGUUGUCAAGCUCUUCAUGUGCGUCUUCAAAAAGUUCAUCACUACUGCUCUCGGAGUUUGCAAGCCUGGAUUUUUUGCUAUUAGGCUCUUCUUCAUCUCCAUCUUCCUUUCUGGACCUUUUCGUGGAUCCAACAGGCAGCUGUUCUUCUUCUGGUACCUGCUGAUUGAUGUCCUCAUCAGCAAUAUUACCAGCAUGAGGACAGCCCUCGCUAUCAGUGUCGCAGGCAGAGAUGAAGUCAGAGUCAUCAUCAGAAAACUCCUCGCUCCAUCUGAAUCUUUUGUUUGGUUCCACAUCUUCUUCAUCCAUCUCUCUAGGCCUCCUCCUGGAUACACCUGGCUGAGGAUCCUCUUCUGGGAUGUACUGGUGAACAUCCUCACAGUCUUCAAAUGCCUCAUCAGAAUCAUCAUUUUCAAUGUCGGCAAUGUUUACAUUGUUAACAUUGCCGUCAUUGACAUUGUC